CGACAACAAAGGAAGAACUGGGUUGGGGUUCCAAAAGGGCUCGUCAGCUGUUAGAUCUGAAGAGAUGCAACUUAGCUUCCGUAGCGGAGGGUUCAUUCAUGGGAAUGAACAACACUUAGCUACUGUGCUAGAGGAUAGUGAAGAGGAAGACUGCACCAACUUUGUGACGCAUGGAAAGACAUGCAACAAUUGGACUGCUGUUGAUAUUCCUGUUAUUUUGCAUCGAUCUAAGUAAAUGCUUUUAUAUUUAAAAUCCUUCUCCUAUACCUAAGGGAGAAGCGGAC
rnacentral:lncRNA from 1 species